GUCCCUUCGGGGACAUCCGAUAAAAUUGGAACGAUACAGAGAAGAUUAGUAUGGUCCAUACGCAAGGAUGACACGCAUAAAUCGAGAACUGGUCUAAAUUUUU
rfam:Brassica napus, WGS project CCCW01000000 data, contig: 1698